rnacentral:rRNA from 1 species
GACGAACGCUGGCGGCGUGCUUAACACAUGCCAGUCGAACGGGUCUGCCCUGUUUUUUGCGGGGUGGGUCAGUGGCGAACGGGUGAGUAACACGUGAGUAACCUGCCCCUCACUUCUGGAUAACCGCUUGAAAGGGUGGCUAAUACGGGGUGUUCUGGCUGUGCCGCAUGGUGUGGCUGGGAAAGAUUCACUUUUGUGGUGUUUGGGUGGGGGAUGGGCUCGCGGCCUAUCAGCUUGUUGGUGGGGUGAUGGCCUGCCAAGGCUUUGACGGGUAGCCGGCCUGAGAGGGUGGGCGGUCACACUGGGACUGGGAUACGGCCCAGACUCCUGCGGGAGGCAGCAGUGGGGGGUAUUGCACAAUGGGCGGAAGCCUGAUGCAGCGACGUCGCGUGAGGGAUGGAGGCCUUCGGGUUGUGAACCUCUUUCGCCGGUGAAGAAGGUCCUGCUCUUUGUGGUGGGGUUGACGGUAGCCGGGUUAUGAAGCGCCGGCUAACUACGUG